AUGUACAAAAAUCUGGUAGAAGAAGAAGUUCAGCAGACUUUUAAGACGCUCCAGGGGCAGGCUAGGGAUUUCACCCAUGAACCCUAAUAUCCCAUUAUAUAGCAUGUAAAUGAAUCUUGCAAUGAAGACGUGAAGAUAGAAAGGCAGAUUGAAUGUGAAUAAUGGUGGGAGUCUCCAGGUUGCAGAUGAAGCAUCGGUGUGUUUCAAUUUCAUCUCAAGUUCAUCAUGGUUGAAACACACAAGACACAUCUCACCAAUUUUGAAUGCCAGAGCAACACAAAGUUUCAACAACAACACUGAUUUAGACUGUUAUUUGUUUGAUUUCUUCAAUUUCAUCUCAUCAAUCCGACCACCUGCUUAGGUUUUCCUCAACUCUUCUGCUGUACAGAGUCAUCACCGGCAGGUUUUGGCUGUUGAUUUUGCUCUCUAAGCAAGGGUUUGUUGUUGAGUAAUCCAAUAUGGAUUCAGAUUUCAGAAACAUGUAAGGGUGGGGCUACGGAUGUUUUACCACAACCACCACCUGUUCCAGAAGACCUCGUUCCAAUCAAAGCUGAGCCAGAAGCCAAGAAGAAGGUCAUGCGUGUACCCAUGGCUAGGACGGACUCCAACGACCUGAAACAUCAAAUCAUAUAUUGGUUUCUUGUGAUGUAGCGAGAACCAUUUGGUUUGUCGUAGCAUCUUUGAUAGCCAUCUUCCCAGCCAACGGUCACUAGCGAUUGAGAAGCCUUUGCAUUGACAUGGUGAUGGAUAGGAGAACCAGUGGGUUAAAUCUGACUGGAAGCAAGAUGAGAACAUUGCUGGGAAGUGGAAUUAUUAAUUAUACAUCUGGCAAAUGGAAUACGAAUGCGAAAAUAUAUUACAAAAAUGAUUUUUUAAGGUGUUUGUUUAUAUAUGGUCAGUGUUGAUUAUUUUUUUAAUCUAUUUGUUUAUUUUUGCAGUCAUUUUUAGUGAUGCUAAGGCACAAGAAGCGUGUUGGGUAAACAGGAAAUGACACUGAAACUCAAAGCUCUGGAAAUAUUGGUCAAGAUCAACUGCCCAAAUGCUACUCAGAGUUCUUAUUAAUGAUUGCAGCCCAUCUAUAUCAAUAGAUAACAUCAGGCUUAAUAAAUGAGGCACCGAAGGUGAAUGCGGUGCCAGAAAAAAAAGGAAGAAGGGGAGGCGUCAAACGCAGCCCACGACGAAGGUGAAGAAGAAGAGAAAAUUGAGGGAGUAGUGGUGGCGGCUCCUCGUAGAAUGACAAGACGCGAUAUCUAAUGACAGAUGCACUGUUGAAGAAUCUAUAGUUAGUAGCUUUCUUUGAGUGGUUUAAUUGUUCGGUUCGGUUAAGGUUGGUUUAAUUCGGUUAUAUACUCACUCCUAGAACAUACAUAUACUUGUAAUACUAAAGCAGUCAGCUAGACUUUCUCUGCGUAUGUUUGACCUUAUAGGUUCAAUGACUAUUUUUUGUUGAAUGACAUAAAAUGUUAGAAACCCGGAAUAGGUUGUCGUUCGUGAUAGACAUAAUAUUUAAAUUUGAUAUAAGUCGGAACACCCGCCGCAACGCGCGGGCAUUCCCACUAGUAUAUGUUAUAUGCACACA
rnacentral:lncRNA from 1 species